GACGUAGGGCGCGAGCGUUGUCCGGAUUUAUUGGGCGUAAAGAGCUCGUAGGCGGCUUGUCGCGUCGUGUGUGAAAUCUCAGGGCUCAACUCUGACAUUGCAUACGAUACGGGCAGGCUUGAGUUCGGUAGGGGAGACUGGAAUUCCUGGUGUAGCGGUGAAAUGCGCAGAUAUCAGGAGGAACACCGGUGGCGAAGGCGGGACUCUGGGCCGAUACUGACGCUGAGGAGCGAAAGCGUGGGGAGCAAACAGG
rnacentral:rRNA from 1 species